AUUACUAUAUAUUUUAUAUGCAAUAUCCCUCUCACACACACACAUUCACUGGUCAGUUUGUAACAGUUAAUACAUUAAAGACCAUUUUUUGCCUCACUCACUUGUUCUUUCCUUCUUCUAGCCCUUUCAUGCAAAUCGCAUCACUGCAUGUGUAAUCAAAUAAAUCAAAGUAUAUAAGCACAUGUAAACAAGCAAAAAGUUUUGGAGGGGAUGUUUCUGCCCCUCCAUUUCAUUCUUACCUAAAUACAGAUAUAUACACAUACAUUCUUACUUAUAUCUGCAUACAUAUAUAAAAUUCCCCCUUUACACACAUACUCAUUGAUGUUUAUAUAUAUACACAAACCACAUGCACAUACAUAUAUAUAUAAACCUUCACUCUCCCUCGACACACACGUACUCAUAUCAGCAUAUAUGUAUAAUCUAAAAUCUAUUUUCACACAUGCGCACACAUCUGCUUAUGCAUACAUUUUUAGGUAUCUUCAAUCAAUAUCAGAAGAUCUGCCAGACGAUGCCGUUUUCGAGCUCAAUUACAAAUUGUUCGAUGAGGUCCAUUGCUUUAUUAAAGAGAAAAAAGCAUCCAACAGAAACGGAAUGGACGCGGCUGGUUCCAGCAAACACAAAAGCCUGUAGUUUAAUGUUUAUGUAACCAUUCGUUUCAGUUUGAAUGUUAUUUUUGUUCAAGUUAUUAUUUCAUUGUCAUUUAUUUUUAAAAUGAAUGGUUUGCGCUUUGUGUGUGUGGGGGUAGAUACAGGGAUGUAAACCUCACCUGGACAUUUCAACCUCCAAAACCCAUCCGUUCAUUGAAUAUUCGUUACCAACAUACGCUACUUGCACCUGCGAUCAAUGAGGGCUGCUAAAAGUGUAUAUACAUCACGCCAACAGUGUAUAUAUGUCAUGUUAACAGUGUACUAUGUCCCGCUGGUAUAUUUAGAACUAAACCACAAGCUAUUUGAUCAAGUACAUCAUUUUGUUACACAAUAAAAAGCGUCCAACAGAAACUGUAGUUUUGACAAUCAGAGUUAUUAUAGUUACUGAUAAAAGAGAAGCGAAGGGAGCCACAGCCAGGUGGGGGGCCAGGUGUGAUUCUGCACACCCACUCAUCGAGACCCAACUCCCACUCCUCAAGACAGAUCUACCUCUUAAAGAGACCCAACUACAUCUCUUCAAGACUCUCUUCACCUCCUCAACUCACCUCCCCUGUUCAACGUAAAGCCAGCAGCUAAGGGACACUUCUUUGUCCGUUUUUAUUAUUUGCAGCAAAACACAGAAGAGUGAAUAGAGCUAAACCCUGGGAGGAGUGAUUCUGCUCCACAAAGCAGAGGGUAUCUGCGCUCCAUUACUGAUGGUCUAUCGGAGGAAGAGUCUCUCCAGUUGAAUUAUACAUUGAACUCCGAGGUGCGUCGAUUUCUCAACGAGAGGAAAGCGCCUCAUUAGAGACGGCCAGCAGAAAAGGUAAACCAUCAUAAAGAAAAAGACACGCUAUCAAGGUGUCUUGGAAGAGAGUAGCCCUGUACAUACAAUAAAGAACCUUUUUAGAACUUAUAUAUACUCUAAAGUAAAUAUACUAUUUAUUUAUUAAUUCCAACCAUGUCGAUUUAAUUUAAUGUAGUUAAUUUAAUGUACCCCCACACACAUAUGCAUGGCUAGACACAUUAAUUAAGACUUUUUAAAUUAUUUGCAGAGAAAUAAAGAAGAGGAUCUGCCUGGACCAAGCAAAGGGAAAACCGACAAGAAAUGUAUGUAAAAGUUAAACAUCAGAUCUGUAGAAAAUAGUUCUGGAUAUUAUUUUCACUUUGGACCAAUGAUACCCUAUGAAUGACAUUAUAGAUUUCAAAAUGACCUUAGAGGAAAAAAAUUCUUAAAUGUUUAAGAUCUAAUGUUUUCUAAUUUUUGAAAUGACUUUUUUCUCUCUUUUUUCAAAAUAGGUAAAGGAAAGAAAAGGAGAUUAGAAGAGGUAAGUCCGUUAUGUUUCUUCUGAUUUUAUUUACCUGAUAUAGUAGGUUGAAAUAUACACAUGCAUAAUGUCUUCUUUUUUAAAAAAAAAAAGCUUGGCUUCUGGUCAGUUUGAAGUACAAGCAGAAUGUAGCAAUUUUUUUUUAGGAUCAGGUUAAGUUAAUUUAAUGUACCCCCACACACAUAUGGAUGCCUAGACACGUUAAUUAAGACUUUAAAAAAUUAUUUGCAGGCCGCCGAUAGCGACGACAGCAGGAGCAGCACACCCACACCUCAAAGAGAGAAUCAGGGUACGUACAAUACGGAACGUUUAUUUAACUUAUAUAUAUAUACUCUAAAGGAAAUAUAAUAUUUAUUUAUUAAUUCCAUGUCCAAAGUCAAUGCAGAAUACCACGCUCAUCAGAGAAGGAUUAGAGCACAAGUUAACAAAUACAUGAAAGGCUUCUCAAAAUCUAGAUCUGAGAAUCUCCUCUCAGAACUCUUUCUGUAGGAUUGGUUUCAGUUGCCAUUAGAUUAUUUGUAUUUAGUGUGAUCGAUACCAACACAACCAGGUACGGAGUGUCAGAAGUCUUUUUGCGUGGUUUUUUUUUCAGCGAAAGGUGGCUCUCGCCACAGAAGAAAACUUAAAGCUAUCGAAAACUUAUGUGGCCUUAUCCAGUCCGCAGCGGAGGGACUAUACCUAGAGCAAGUACUUCCGCUAGGCAUAACGACGAAGUUUUCAAGAAUUUGCCACUGGUGGAGAGGUAAACCAUCAUACAGCCAGUAACUAAGGCUCUAAGGUCAUAGAUGAACAAGUUUUGUAAAUGGUUGAAACAUGCAGAAAAUAAAAACAGCAUGCCUGAGAUGAAAUUUAAAACCAGGACAUUCAUUUAUCUUUAUUCUCAUACAUGGAAAUAUUUAGUUACAACACAUUUGGUCCCCAGAAGAAUAAGUAGUCUUUCUUCUUUUGGAAAUUGUAAAUUCAGUUAUAUGAGAACAUUGAGAUGAUGAAAUUCUCAUACCAACGGUCUACCAUUUUCCAGACUCCAGCGCAAGAGAUGGCGCACAACGAGGAAACACGAAAUUACCUGUGACUUCUGCUUGCUGUCAUCCAGUUUUUGUGUGUUUAAUUUCUUUUUUAACUUUUGCGUUAAAGACUCGAAUAAAUCAUAAACUGAAGCGUUAUCGAAGUUACGAGCUGUGCAACAGCUAUUUGGUUUUCUCCAAACUAUAUCUGAAGGAUUAUCGUUGGAAGACUUCUUAAAACUUAGUCUCAUUCUCCAUACAGAAACUAAUAAAUUUCUCAUUGCCGAAAAGGUAAACCAUCAUAAAGAAAAAGACACGCUAUCAAAGUGUCUCGGAAGAGAGGAGGAGCCGAGUACAUACAAUGCAGAACGUUUUUAUAACUUAUAUAUACUCUAAAGUAAAUAUACUAUUUAUUUAUUAAUUCCAACCAUGUCCAAAUUCAAUGCAGAAUACCACGGAUGAAAGAGCAUGAAUGACAAAAGAGAGUUUUUUACAACUUGACAGUAUAACAUUUUUUUGUGUUUUGUUUUGUUUUGCUUGCAUAUGUAUAAGAUAAAUUGUGAUGAUUAUGAAGGGAGGCAAAACCAGGGGAGAGUGAUUCUGCCCCACCAAGGAGAGGGAGGAGGUUGAAUGAAAAAAAUGGGGAAACAAAAGAUUUUCUCAUUAAAGGUGAGCUUUACAGCAAAGCUUACAGAGGACAUUAUUAGAGAUCUCCUUUUUGGAAGUACAUGAUAUGUGAGUCAAUGUUAUUAUUUGCAGAAAAAUCUAGAAAAGCGAAGGGAGCCACAGCCAGCUGGGGAGUGAUUCUGCACUUGAUUUAAAAAAAAAAACGGAUGGAAAAGCGUGAAUGACGAAAGAGAUUGAGUGACAAAAGUUCUCAGAAUGCGUUUAUGGAUGAUGUAAAUUAUUUGCUGUUGACCUAUUUUGUCUUCUUUCUUCACUGAUCGAUACCAAGGCAAUAAGGUACGGAGUGUAGGAAGUCUUUUUGCAUCUUUUUUUUUUCAGCCUAUAGAAACACAAAGCGGGGUAGAUGGUCGCUCAAAAAAGCCAGAACAAGCGAGUACCUAUUUUGGUACAUGCAAUCUAUUACGGAGGGGCUUCCAGAAGAGGCAGGACUUGAAAUCAAUUACAAAUUGCACACUGAGUAUUACCAGUUUUUGGAAGAGAGAAAAGCAUCUCAUUAGAUACAGAAUGGGCAUAGCUGGUUCCUACCAGCAAAAAAGGUAAACCAUCAUAAAGCCAUUAACUAAGGCUCUGACAUGAAAGAUGCAGUAACUAAGGUAAACCAUCAUAAAGCCAGUAACUAAGGCUCUAACGUCAUAGAGGAACCAGUUUUGUAAAUAGUUGAAACAUGCAGAAAAUGAAAACAGCAUGCCUGAGACGAAAUUUAAAACCAGGACAUCUAUUUAUCUUUAUUCACGAUCAACUCUAAACUGUUGCACCACUAGACUGACCUCAGCGCGAGAAAGAUAUGAGUGCAGCUAGGGAAUGCAUGUUUGAACGGUCAGCAAUGGAGGAGUGGGGUUUUAUUAUUUUCUUACAAAGUUCAAAUUGUGCAUAAUCAUUUGCAAAGAUUAUGGUUGCCUGCGGUUGUUACAUGGUCUCCAAAAAAAGGAGAGGGGCAAUGGAAGAAAGGAGGAGCCCUGUACUUACAAUACAGAACAUUUAUUUAACUUAUAUAUACCCUAAAGUAAAUAUACUAUUUAUUUAUUAAUUCCAACCAUGUCCAAAUUCAAUGCAGAUUAGAUACCUUCGAUCGAUUACCGAAGAUCUACCAGAAGAAGUGUGUUAUUUACGUAGGUGGAUGACUGUUUAGUCAAGCAAAUUGUUACUUCAUAUAUGGAUUAUUUAGGUAAAUGAAUGACAGCAAAGUCACAAUGUAUUGAACCUGUGACUUUCAUUUUUUUUUUUUUCAGCCUCUAGUUUAAUGUUUAUGUAACCAUUCGUUUCAGUUUCAAUGUUAUUUUUGUUCAAGUUGUUCUCAUUUCAUUGUCAUUUAUUUUUAAAAUGAAUGGUUUGCGUUUUGUGUGUGUGUGUGUUUUGGGGGUGUGUAGAUACUGGGAUUUAAUGCAUAUGUGGUCCUUUGGCUGCCUUAAAAAUACUUUAAUGUUUUAGACCUAAUGUUUUAUAAUUUUAAAGUGACUUUUUUCUCUUUUUUUCAAAAUAGUGAUGGAAGGGAAAAGGAAAAGAAGAAGACAAGAAGUAAGUUCCUCAUGUUUCUUCUGAUUUUAUUUACCCAUUCCUGACGGCUGUUUACUUUGCAUGCUUGGGAGUAGUGUUAGCUCAGGAAAGGCAUUUUAUGUUGCUUUUGCUUGCUUUUUGACAGUUUUAUUUUGUUAGCCUUAUUUUCUACUGUAUUUAUCUUCCAUAAAUCAUUGGUGUUUUAUAUGGGUAUUCUUAUACUAGUAGGUUGAAAUAUGCACAUGUAUAAUGUCUUUCUUUUUUUUU
rnacentral:lncRNA from 1 species